UUUAUAUAUAUUUUUAUAUAUCCAUCGUCGCGUGGAAAGGGCAAGGAGAAACGGGCGAGGCAAGCCAUCGUCGAUUCCUGCGGCUUCUUCGCCGUGGCGCCGAGGAACAUAGGAAAAAGGUGAAUCCAUAGGAUAAGGGCAGCGGGAAGCGGCGAUUUUGGCUUGGGGUACUCUUCCGAGGGACGGACAUCCGUCAGGGUAGUCAAGGAGCUCGAGAUGGAGAAGGGCGCUGAUCCUUUCCAAGGCAGCACCGCCUUGGCCGCCGUCGUUGUCAUCACCCCUGUCUGGCUUGUACGAACAGUGCAGUCCUUUUUCCAGAAUGAAGCAGGUUUAUUAAGUUUGCUGGUGGCAGACAGAUCUUACAUAUAUGACUUCUAAAGGCUCCCGGUAGUGACUGAACUUUUCUAUAUGCAAAUUAUUAUGCUAUAGGGAAAUCCAUCAGCAUGGCAAAGUUCUACAUUUCAAGAAAAUUUCAAAAACUUCAUUUCCAUCAGACUAGCCACUAGAGCAUAGUUUAUCGGUCUGGUUUCAAGUGACUCACGGCCUUUUUCUCAUCAUGUUCCAGAAUUGGCUGUGGGCAAGAUGUAUCCUCAUGAGGAUGGGAUGUAUCCUCCCAAAUAUUUGCAUCAUCCAUCAAAGAUUGGAGUGUUAAAUGUUACUGCUGGUUUGGAUUUUCAUGCAGAGUUAAACGAUCCAGCUUAUGUUUUGAUAUAGGAUAAGUUUUGCUGCUUUAAGUGUAAAGAAUUCAUCCAGUUGUCCCAAGAAAUAUUGAGCAUAUUAUGGAAUACUUCAGGAACUGGUUUGCCAAAGAUUGGAGUGUUAAAUGUUACUGCUGGUUUGGAUUUUCAUGCAGAGUUAAACGAUCCAGCUUACGUUUUGAUAUAGGAUAAUCUUUGCUGCUUUAAGUGUAAAGAAUUCAUCCAGUUGUCCCAAGAAAUAUUGAGCAUAUUAUGGAAUACUUCAGGAAAUGGUUUGCCAAAAGAUAAAUUUCUUCUGAGGAUGGUGAGGUUGGGUAGGGAUUCAGAUAAUGUUUCUAUUGAUCAAGAUAGCCCUGAUGAUGUUGUGGGAUGAUAGUAGCAUUUAUGUAUCUCAGACUUGGUGAAGCAGAAUAUGAUAUGAAAGUUCCUUGUGGUUUCUAUGAUAAGGCCAGGAGUGUGCACUUUUCAUGUCCUCUACAUUCAAAUGAAUGUCAUCUGAAGAACUGAUUUCUGUGAUUUACCAUUGUCAAUGUUCCUUGUGGUUAUUUUUA